AUGGGCGGAAGCCUGAACCAGCCAAGUAGCGUGCAGGACGACGGCCCUAUGGGUUGUAAACUGCUUUUUAAGGGGAAUAAAGAGGGACACGCGUGUCCUGUUGCAUGUACCCUUAGAAUAAGGACCGGCUAAUUCCGUGCCAGCAGCCGCGGUAAUACGGAAGGUCCAGGUGUUAUCCGGAUUUAUUGGGUUUAAAGGGAGCGUAGGCCGCAGGUUAAGUGUGUUGUGAAAAGCAGUCGCCCAACGUCUGCCUUGCGGCGCAAACUGUCCUGCUUGAGUGCGCACAACGCAGGCGGAAUUCGUCGUGUAGCGGUGAAAUGCUUAGAUAUGACGAAGAACUCCGAUUGCGAAGGCAGCUUGCGGGAGCGCAACUGACGCUGAAGCUCGAAAGUGCGGGUAUCGAACAGGAUUAGAUACCCUGGUAGUCCGCACGGUAAACGCUGGAUGCCCGUUUUUGGCUUAUUUUAAGUCAGAGACCAAGCGAAAGCAUUAAGCAUCCCACCUGGGGAGUACGCCGGCAACGGUGAAACUCAAAGGAAUUGACGGGGGCCCGCACAAGCGGAGGAACAUGUGGUUUAAUUCGAUGAUACGCGAGGAACCUUACCCGGGGCUUGAAUU
rnacentral:rRNA from 1 species